rnacentral:rRNA from 1 species
AGAGUUUGAUCAUGGCUCAGGAUGAACGCUAGCGGCAGGCUUAAUACAUGCAAGUCGAACGGUAACAGGUUUAAAUUUCGGUUUGAACGCUGACGAGUGGCGCACGGGUGAGUAACGCGUACACAAUCUGCCUUUAAGCGGGGAAUACCCUAUGGAAACGUAGAUUAAUACCCCAUAGCAUCACGAGAACGCAUGUUUUUGUGAUUAAAGCUCCGGUGCUUAAAGAUGAGUGUGCGUCCUAUUAGCUAGAUGGUAAGGUAACGGCUUACCAUGGCAACGAUAGGUAGGGGGCGUGAGAGCGUGAUCCCCCACACGGGUACUGAGACACGGACCCGACUCCUACGGGAGGCAGCAGUAAGGAAUAUUGGACAAUGGGCGAAAGCCUGAUCCAGCCAUGCCGCGUGCAGGAAGAAUGCCCUAUGGGUUGUAAACUGCUUUUAUAUGGGAAGAAUUGCUUCGACGUGUCGGAGUUUGACGGUACCAUAUGAAUAAGCACCGGCUAACUCCGUGCCAGCAGCCGCGGUAAUACGGAGGGUGCAAGCGUUAUCCGGAAUUACUGGGUUUAAAGGGUGCGUAGGCGGCAACGUAAGUCAGAAGUGAAAGCUCUCGGCUCAACUGAGGAAUUGCUUUUGAUACUGCGUAGCUUGAAUAAGGUUGAGGUCAGCGGAAUGUGGCAUGUAGCGGUGAAAUGCAUAGAUAUGCCAUAGAACACCAAUUGCGAAGGC